CAGAUCGACAGGCUCCAAUGUUGCUCAACGUAGCUACCAUCUGCUAAGAAAAAUGGUGAUAAAAAUAUGAGAUUGCAACUCAGUGAGUAGAUAAUUUGUAAAUAAGUAAACUUUUUCCAUUGAUGCAUAUUUUCUAAAAAUUCUUGCUCUAUUGAAACUUUAAGAAAUUCUGAAAUCUGGUAACACUUUUUACAAUCAAACAUGAAUACAUUAUAAAAUUCUUUAUUCUUCAUUCUAGAUAAGUAUCUGUAAGGUAUAACAAAUAUAAAGAAUCUGAUAUUCAUGAAAAUCUAUGAAAUAUUGCCGCUGCUCAAUACUUUAAGCUGAAAGCUUUAUUCUGAAAACUGAAUUAACUGAAUUCCAUAAUCUGAAAUCUGAGAACUGAAUAAAUACUGAAAAAUCACACCAAAAAGAGUACUCAAUGAAUAGCCUUACUCAUGUACAAAGUAAUCUCGAUGUACAAGGCAAAACCAUUCAAAUCUGAUAAUCUGAUAACUGAUAAUCUGAUAAUCUGGUCAUACGUACGCAGAGCUGCCCCAAAGGCUAAUCACCCUAGUAUACAGCCCAAAGCAUAUGUGUGUACUAGAGUGGGUCCUAAAGACCUCUGAUAAUCUGGUUAUACACUAUGAAAACACAUUCACAAUAGUACAGAGCGGAUAAAAUCACCAUAACUAGUCAUACACUGUGGAAACACAUUCACAUCAGUACAAAUUGGGGGUAAAAUCACUUGGGUACUUUCUGGUAGUUUUUAGAAAUAACUUUAACUAUACUGAAACAUGUAAUAAGAAUAUAACAUGCUUUCAAAAUAAUUUAACUGAACUAAAUUUAACUUUAAAAGCAAUUGAUAAUAAAAUCCAUUUUAUUCUAAAAAUCAUGCUAUGAAGUCAACUUUAUAAAAUAAAUAACUUUAAAAUUUAAAUAAGACUUAUUUCUGAAAAAUAAGUUUUAUCCACUCACAGAUUUAUGAAUAGGAAUCUUGGCUAAAUUGACGGGCAUCUCCAAACUUCCACGUCACUACCUGAAAUAAAUGUAUAACAACUCAAAUUAAAAUAUGACAAUUAAACUAAAGCAAAGUCACCACUUAAUUCCUCAACUUCCAAAUUUUCUCUUGAAUCUCCAUUUCUCGAUACUUGAAUGAAUUCCCCAAUUUUUCUUUAAUCAAUUGGAGAUAAUUCUAUUCACUAACUCCUUCACUAUUUUUUAGUUUAUAAAAAUUACUUUCAUCCCAAACAUAAAAUAAUUAUACUUUCCAAUCUAAUGAAAACUAAUAACCAUAAUUCCUCCCAUUUAAUACACAUCUUGUUCCAUAAAAUCAUCUUUUCAUGUGAGUAUUUCAUGAAAACUAUCAUUUUCCAAACUUUUCUUUUCUUUGAUUAUUUACCAACCAAUCAUCACACAUAAUCAAAUCCAUUAAUUUACCGUACUUUUUUAAAUCACUACUUUAUAAACAUACAACCUCUAUAUACAGCUUAAUCCAUCCCUUAUUAAAUCGCUUUAUUCCCUUUUUAAUUUCCAUAUGGCAGAACAUGUUCCCAUUUACCGAUUUAUUUAUAGAAUAUGUUUUCCACAUUCAUUUCCCCACUACAUUGGCACAAUAACAUACAACCUUCCAACAUCUUGAAUUUACACUAUAAAUACUGUCCCUUUUUAUUUUGCUCUGUAAUAUCAAAAUUACUAAAUCAAGAACAUACCACAUUCAUGCUAAAUUGAAUUCCAAUUAAACACAAUUCAUCUCUUCUUCAUCAGUUUACUACUUCCACACUAACAUCAAGCUAUGCAAUUAGGCAUGUUCCAUUCUUAAUACUUCCAGCCACUAGACAUAUAUAUGUGCCAAACAAUUUAUUAAUUGACUCAAAUCCUCACUUGCCUUUUGAUUUCUUUAUUUAAAUUUCAAUUUUAACCCAAUUACUUACUGAAUUUUUUUUCAUUCACAAGGCUCCAACCCGAAAAUUUAUAAAUAUUUGAUUCACAUAACUUAAAAGCCUCAAAAAUGGUUUACCCAUACUAAACCAUCAAGAAAUUGAACUUCUUUAUCACUUAUUGGAGCCAAAUAAGAAAUUUAAGUUUGUAUAAAACUUACCUACUUGUGAUUGUAGAAGCAAUGAGGAUAUGAAAGACAACCCAAUACUUGAAAAAGGCAUCUGGCCUCCUACAUAUCUCCGCCAGUACUUUUUUUUUUUUUUUUUCCUUCCCUCGGUAUCUCUCGAUUUCUCUGGUUCUUUCUGCCCGUCUAUGUGUG
rnacentral:lncRNA from 1 species